GCGAAAGGGGAGCAAUCCCUGAGUAGAGUGGCAAACGGGUGAGUAACACGUGGGUGACCUGCCUUCGAGUGGGGGAUAACGUCCCGAAAGGGACGCUAAUACCGCAUGACAUCCUGCCUUUGGAAAGGCGGAGAUCAAAGCUGGGGAUCGCAAGACCUGGCGCUUGAAGAGGGGCCCGCGCCUGAUUAGCUAGUUGGUGGGGUAAUGGCCUACCAAGGCGACGAUCAGUAUCCGGCCUGAGAGGGCGGACGGACACACUGGGACUGAGACACGGCCCAGACUCCUACGGGAGGCAGCAGUGGGGAAUUGUUCGCAAUGGGCGCAAGCCUGACGACGCAACGCCGCGUGGAGGACGAAGAUCUUCGGGUCGUAAACUCCUGUCGAGUGGGAAGAAUGCUUCAGGGGCGAAUACCCCUUGAAAUUGACGGUACCACUAAAGGAAGCCCCGGCUAACUCCGUGCCAGCAGCCGCGGUAAUACGGGGGGGGCAAGCGUUGUUCGGAAUUACUGGGCGUAAAGGGCUCGUAGGCGGCCAACUAAGUCGGAUGUGAAAUCCCCAGGCUCAACCUGGGAACUGCAUCCGAUACUGGAUGGCUUGAAUUCGGGAGAGGGAUGCAGAAUUCCAGGUGUAGCGGUGAAAUGCGUAGAUAUCUGGAGGAAUACCGGUGGCGAAGGCGGCAUCCUGGACCGACAUUGACGCUGA
rnacentral:rRNA from 1 species